AGAGUUUGAUCCUGGCUCAGAGUGAACGCUGGCGGCGUGCUUAACACAUGCAAGUCGAACGAUGAAGCUGGUGCUUGCACCAGUGGAUUAGUGGCGCACGGGUGAGUAAUGGAUAGGAAUCUGCCUCACAGAGGGGGACAACAGUUGGAAACGACUGCUAAUACCCCAUACACCCUACGGGGGAAAGCUUUAGCGCUGUGAGAUGAGCCUAUCUCCCAUCAGCUAGUUGGUAGGGUAAGAGCCUACCAAGGCAAUGACGGGUAGCUGGUCUUAGAGGACGAUCAGCCACACUGGAACUGAGACACGGUCCAGACUCCUACGGGAGGCAGCAGUGGGGAAUAUUGCACAAUGGAGGAAACUCUGAUGCAGCAACGCCGCGUGGAGGAUGACGCAUUUCGGUGUGUAAACUCCUUUUAUCAAGGAAGAAAUUUGACGGUACUUGAUGAAUAAGCACCGGCUAACUCCGUGCCAGCAGCCGCGGUAAUACGGGGGGUGCAAGCGUUACUCGGAAUCACUGGGCGUAAAGCGCGCGCAGGCGGUUAGAAAAGUCAGAUGUGAAAUGCUACGGCUUAACCGUAGAACUGCAUCUGANACUCUCUAACUAGAGUGUGGGAGAGGUAAGUGGAAUUAGUGGUGUAGGG
rnacentral:rRNA from 1 species